UCACUUCAGCAGCACGUGCAAUAAGGUUGGAAUGCCACACAGAAUCUUAGCAUGGCCACUCUGUACGGAUGACAUGUUAAUU
rnacentral:snRNA from 1 species